AAUGAGUUUCAUCACAACACAAGUGAGCACGUGUGAACACAUGUGUUGUCACCCAAUACCCGAAAAAUGCAUGGAAAUGUGUUUUGUCACCAAACAUGUGAACACACAUGAAGAUGCGUGUUGUCACCCAGUAUCUGAAAAACACAUGGAAAUGCAUUUCAUCACCAAACACAAGCACACAUGAACAUACGUGUUACCACAAUAUGACCAAAAAUGUUUGAAAAUGCAUUUAGUCACAGCAUGGCUGAACAAGCCUGAAGACGCGUGUUUUCAUCAAAUGCCUGAAAACACAUUCAAAUGCUUUUCUUCAUAACAUGCCUGAACAGGCGUGAAAAUGUGUUUUGUCACAACACAUGUGAACAUGUGUGAACACACAUGAACACCUGUGUUGUCAUCCUAUGCAUGAAAACACAUGAAAAUGCACCUGAACAGGCAUGAAAAUGUUUCGUCACAACACAUCUGAACACGUGUUGCCACCAGUUGCCUGAAAAUGAGUUCAAAUGCUUUCCUUCACAACAUAACUGAACACACAUGAACACAAAUGAACACCCAUAAUGUCACCAUAUAACUGAAAAUGCAUUUCAUCACAACACGUGAACACAUGUGAACCCGCAUGUUGUCACCACAUACCUGAAAAACAUGUGAAAAUACAUUUCAUCACAACACACCUGAACAUGCAGUAACACAUGUAUUGUCCCCAAAUGCCUGAAAACGUGUUCAAAUGUGUUUCUUCACAACAUACCUGAAAACGCGUGAGCACACAUGAACAUGUGUAUUGUCACUCUAUGCCUGAAAAACACAUGGAAAUGUGUUUCAUCACCAAACAUGUGAACACACAUGAACAUGUGUUGUCUCCAUAUGACAGAAAACACAUGAAAAUGCAUUUCAUCACAACACACGAGUAUGCGUGAACGUGUGUAUAGUAACGAAAUGCCUGAAAACGCUUGAAAAUGACUGAAAAUACUUGAAAAUGCUUUUUGUCACAACACAUGAAAGCACACGUCGACACGUGUGUUGUCAUAUGACUGAAAAUGUGUGAAAAUGAUUUUGUCACAACAUGCCUGAACAGACGUGAAAACAUGUGUUGUCACCAAAUGCCUGAAAACAUGUUGGAGACGUGGUGAGACAGCGUACAUGACUGGAACGCUCUCAUGGAGGCCUAUGUCCUUUUUAGGAAAGACAGCCUGGGGAAGCGAGGGGGAGGAGAUGCCCUUUAUGUGAGAGAUAAACUAGAAUGUACCCAGCUCCACCUGGGUGGGGGGGGGGUGUGAAGGAGUGGAGAGCUUGUGGGUGAGAAUUAAGGGGCGGGCUGGUAUGGGUGACACUGUUGUGGGAGUGUACUACAGAGUGUACCAGAUCAGGAGGAGGAGUUUGACGAGGCCUUCUACAAGCAGCUGGAAGUAGCCUUGUGAUCCCAGGUGCUUGUU